rnacentral:rRNA from 1 species
GCGAGUCUUUGGGUCUGCCACGUAGCAGCUAAACCCGAACACGGCGCAAUGAAAGUAAAGGCACGUCCGCAACGCGCGGAGGGUUUAAACUCGCGUGGGUUUUUAACUCGCGCGGGGGGCCCUCUCGUCGCCUGCGACGGCUGAGGCGGGAUCCUCGUGGCGUAGAAAUGUAAAACACACGAGCUUAGCGGUGAGCUUCCUCCCUUUUGCCCGACACCCGUCGCUUCCGGCGGCGGUGAGGGUUUGGGGGGCGGCGUUUGGAGCCGCGGCCGCGUCACUUAACCGGGCACGUUUGACACGGUUUUCGGCGGACGUUCCCCCACUUCCCGCAAGGAACGGGCGCUCUUCGUUUCCCUCUUUUAACGUCGCUCGCACGCCACUAGAGCGGCGGAGGGUUUCAAAAAGGAGAUGUCUCGCUCGGGGGUGAUUGCUUGACACGGGGCACAAACGCGUCCGAUUUCCGACGGCCCGGAGGCGCACCGCCGGCCCGCUUUGACCGCCCUCGGUGUUCUUCUCCUGCGUCCAGCGGCCCUUUUUCCGCCUCCCUUUUUCCCUCCCUCACGGGGGGGUCGGGGUCGUCGGUUGGGGUGACAAGCAGCGCAGGAAGCCCGAAAGUCGGUGAAGCGGAGCAAGAGCACACACGUUGGGACCCGAAAGAUGGUGAACUAUGCCCGGGCAGGACGAGGCCAGAGGAAACUCUGGUGGAGGUCCGUAGCGAUUCUGACGUGCAAAUCGAUCGUCGGACAUGGGUAUAGGGGCGAAAGACUAAUCGAACCAUCUA